GACGGGGCCGCACAAGCGGAGGAGCAUGUGGUUUAAUUCGAUGAUACGCGAGGAACCUUACCUGGGCUCGAACGUAAGAUGACUGUAGGUGAAAGCUUACAUCUCUUCGGAGCAUUUUACGAGGUGCUGCAUGGUUGUCGUCAGCUCGUGCCGUGAGGUGUCGGGUUAAGUCCCAUAACGAGCGCAACCCCUACCUUUAGUUGCCAUCAGGUAAUGCUGGGGACUCUAAAGGAACUGCCUACGCAAGUAGUGAGGAAGGCGGGGAUGACGUCAAAUCAGCACGGCCCUUACGUCCAGGGCUACACACGUGCUACAAUGGCCGAUACAGAGGGCAGCUACCUGGUGACAGGAUGCAAAUCUCCAAAGUCGGUCUCAGUUCGGAUCGGAGUCUGCAACCCGACUCCGUGAAGUUGGAUUCGCUAGUAAUCGCGCAUCAGCCAUGGCGCGGUGAAUACGUUCCCGGGCCUU
rnacentral:rRNA from 1 species